rfam:Pseudomassariella vexata strain CBS 129021 BCR38scaffold_4, whole genome shotgun sequence.
GCACCCUUGGUGUAAUGGUAACAUAUCAGCUUCCCAAGCUGAUGCUUCGAGUUCGAUUCUCGGAGGGCGCA